AUUGAACGCUGGCGGCAGGCCUAACACAUGCAAGUCGAACGGUAACAGGAAGAAGCUUGCUUCUUUGCUGACGAGUGGCGGACGGGUGAGUAAUGUCUGGGAAACUGCCUGAUGGAGGGGGAUAACUACUGGAAACGGUAGCUAAUACCGCAUAACGUCGCAAGACCAAAGAGGGGGACCUUCGGGCCUCUUGCCAUCGGAUGUGCCCAGAUGGGAUUAGCUAGUAGGUGGGGUAACGGCUCACCUAGGCGACGAUCCCUAGCUGGUCCGAGAGGAUGACCAGCCACACUGGAACUGAGACACGGUCCAGACUCCUACGGGAGGCAGCAGUGGGGAAUAUUGCACAAUGGGCGCAAGCCUGAUGCAGCCAUGCCGCGUGUAUGAAGAAGGCCUUCGGGUUGUAAAGUACUUUCAGCGGGGAGGAAGGGAGUAAAGUUAAUACCUUUACUCAUUGACGUUACCCGCAGAAGAAGCACCGGCUAACUCCGUG
rnacentral:rRNA from 1 species